AUUGAACGCUGGCGGCAUGCCUUACACAUGCAAGUCGAACGGCAGCACGGGUGCUUGCACCUGGUGGCGAGUGGCGAACGGGUGAGUAAUACAUCGGAACAUGUCCUGUAGUGGGGGAUAGCCCGGCGAAAGCCGGAUUAAUACCGCAUACGAUCUCCGGAUGAAAGCGGGGGACCUUCGGGCCUCGCGCUAUAGGGUUGGCCGAUGGCUGAUUAGCUAGUUGGUGGGGUAAAGGCCUACCAAGGCGACGAUCAGUAGCUGGUCUGAGAGGACGACCAGCCACACUGGGACUGAGACACGGCCCAGACUCCUACGGGAGGCAGCAGUGGGGAAUUUUGGACAAUGGGCGAAAGCCUGAUCCAGCAAUGCCGCGUGUGUGAAGAAGGCCUUCGGGUUGUAAAGCACUUUUGUCCGGAAAGAAAUCCUUGGCCCUAAUACGGUCGGGGGAUGACGGUACCGGAAGAAUAAGCACCGGCUAACUACGUG
rnacentral:rRNA from 1 species